rnacentral:rRNA from 1 species
UACGUAGGGGGCUAGCGUUGUCCGGAAUCAUUGGGCGUAAAGAGCGUGUAGGCGGCCCGGUAAGUCCGCUGUGAAAGUCGGGGGCUCAACCCUCGAAUGCCGGUGGAUACUGUCGGGCUAGAGUGCGGAAGAGGCGAGUGGAACUCCUGGUGUAGCGGUGGAAUGCGCAGAUAUCAGGAAGAACACCGACGGCGAAGGCAGCUCGCUGGGACGGUACUGACGCUGAGGCGCGAAAGCGUGGGGAGCGAACAGG